rnacentral:rRNA from 1 species
AUUGAACGCUGGCGGCAUGCCUUACACAUGCAAGUCGAACGGCAGCACGGGGGCAACCCUGGUGGCGAGUGGCGAACGGGUGAGUAAUGCAUCGGAACGUACCCGGAAGUGGGGGAUAACGUAGCGAAAGUUACGCUAAUACCGCAUAUUCUGUGAGCAGGAAAGCAGGGGAUCGCAAGACCUUGCGCUUUCGGAGCGGCCGAUGUCGGAUUAGCUAGUUGGUGAGGUAAAAGCUCACCAAGGCGACGAUCCGUAGCUGGUCUUAGAGGAUGAUCAGCCACACUGGGACUGAGACACGGCCCAGACUCCUACGGAGGCAGCAGUGGGGAAUUUUGGGACAAUGGGCGAAAGCCUGAUCCAGCCAUGCCGCGUGAGUGAAGAAGGCC